rnacentral:rRNA from 1 species
CAGUCAUGCUUGCAAGUAAUCAGCUUAAAGUAUUCUUUGAGUGUACUUUCUUGUUUUAGCAAGUUAGCGUCGAUUUUAAUUAUCUUAAAAUAACUAGGGGAAUGUAACGUCCCUCGGGAGCGUUAUAGCCCUUGGUAAGACUGAGAUGAUUUACGAUCGAGGAUUGCAACGAAUGCUCAUUAGGGCUAACAACUUGAUCUCUG